UCGAGCGCGGGAAGCUGACUGAAUCCUUCGGGAGGACGUGAGUGGAACGAGCGGCGGACGGGUGAGUAACACGUGGGCAACCUGCCUGUAAGACUGGGAUAACUCCGGGAAACCGGGGCUAAUACCGGAUAGUACUUUGGUUCAUAGGAACCGAAGUGGAAAGGUGGCGCAAGCUACCACUUACAGAUGGGCCCGCGGUGCAUUAGCUAGUUGGUGAGGUAACGGCUCACCAAGGCAACGAUGCAUAGCCGACCUGAGAGGGUGAUCGGCCACACUGGGACUGAGACACGGCCCAGACUCCUACGGGAGGCAGCAGUAGGGAAUCUUCCGCAAUGGACGAAAGUCUGACGGAGCAACGCCGCGUGAACGAAGAAGGUUUUCGGAUCGUAAAGUUCUGUUGUUAGGGAAGAACAAGUACCGUUCGAAUAGGGCGGUACCUUGACGGUACCUAUCGAGGAAGCCCCGGCUAACUACGUGCCAGCAGCCGCGGUAAUACGUAGGGGGCAAGCGUUGUCCGGAAUUAUUGGGCGUAAAGCGCGCGUAGGCGGUUUCUUAAGUCUGAUGUGAAAUCUUGCGGCUCAACCGCAAGCGGUCAUUGGAAACUGGGGAACUUGAGUACAGAAGAGGAGAGCGGAAUUCCACGUGUAGCGGUGAAAUGCGUAGAGAUGUGGAGGAACACCAGUGGCGAAGGCGGCUCUCUGGUCUGUAACUGACGCUGAGGUGCGAAAGCGUGGGGAGCGAACAGGAUUAGAUACCCUGGUAGUCCACGCCGUAAACGAUGAGUGCUAGGUGUUAGGGGGUUUCCGCCCCUUAGUGCUGCAGUUAACGCAUUAAGCACUCCGCCUGGGGAGUACGGCCGCAAGGCUGAAACUCAAAAGAAUUUGACGGGG
rnacentral:rRNA from 1 species